GGAAGCAAAAGUCGUAACAAGGUUUCCGUAGGUGAACCUGCGGAAGGAUCAUUAUUGUAUAACCGAGGUGCGAGGGCUGUCGCUGACCCGAAAGGUCGUGCACGCCCGAGUGCCCUCACACACAUCCAUCUCACCCCUAUGUGCACCACCGCGUGGGUCCCCCUUUGACUUGUUCGGAGGGGGGCUUACGUUUUCACACAAACUUUGUAUGCAGUGUAGAAUGUAUUUUUUGUUUUUGCGAUCACGCAAUCAAUACAACUUUCAACAACGGAUCUCUUGGCUCUC
rnacentral:misc_RNA from 1 species